rnacentral:rRNA from 1 species
CGGCGGACGGGUGAGUAACGCGUGGGUAACCUGCCUCAUACAGGGGGAUAACAGUUAGAAAUGACUGCUAAUACCGCAUAAGACCACAGCACUGCAUGGUGCAGUGGUAAAAACUCCGGUGGUAUGAGAUGGACCCGCGUCUGAUUAGUUAGUUGGCGGGGUAACGGCCCACCAAGGCGACGAUCAGUAGCCGGCCUGAGAGGGUGACCGGCCACAUUGGGACUGAGACACGGCCCAAACUCCUACGGGAGGCAGCAG